GCAUCUAAGCACGAAACUUGCCCCGAGAUGAGUUCUCCCUGAGACUAUAAGUCUCCUGAAGGAACGUUAAAGACGAUGACGUUGAUAGGCCGGGUGUGUAAGCGCAGCGAUGCGUUGAGCUAACCGGUACUAAUGAACCGUGAGGCUUAACCUUACAACGCCGAAGAUGUUUGG
rnacentral:rRNA from 1 species